CAGCCGCCGCGGGAAUACGUAGGUGGCAAGCGUUGUCCGGAAUUAUUGGGCGUAAAGGGCUCGCAGGCGGUUUCUUAAGUCUGAUGUGAAAGCCCCCGGCUCAACCGGGGAGGGUCAUUGGAAACUGGGAAACUUGAGUGCAGAAGAGGAGAGUGGAAUUCCACGUGUAGCGGUGAAAUGCGUAGAGACGUGGAGGAACACCAGUGGCGAAGGCGACUCUCUGGUCUGUAACUGACGCUGAGGAGCGAAAGCGUGGGGAGCGAACAGGAUUAGAUACCCCGGUAGUCCCUGUCUCUUAUAC
rnacentral:rRNA from 1 species